UUUUUAAAAGAAUUUUCGUAAAACAAAACCCUGCACUUCUCUCCUCUACACCUCCCCACUUCUUCCCUACCACUACCCACGCCAAACUCUCACCACCGUCGUUGUUGCCAUCGUCUCUCCUCCCGUGUCCCAUCUUAUCUCCUCUGAUGUGUGCCAUCUUAUCUUCUCUCCUCUCCUAUCUUCUCUCCUCUCCAGCAGCCAAGUCGCCGAUUUGUGUACCGCUUAAUACCUCCAUCGCCUCCUCUCCUGGGGCAAAGAAUCGCGCUCACCGCCACUAUCGUCGACUUGCCUCCUACUGGAAACCGCUAAGAGGUUAGCUCAUACACCGUUCUGCUGGAAAAUCAAAUUUCUUUUUGGCUCAAAGAGCUUGCAAGUCCCAUUCUCGGAUACCAAGUGUUGUGAGUCGUGACUAUAUACGCCGGUCAUUUAGCUCCUGGUCUCUUAUUCAAUCAUGUAUUGCAACUUACAAGCAGAGAACAAAUUCAUUUAUGAUGGAUGGCUAGGAUGUACCUUUCCGAGAUGUCGUGGCUUAUGUGAAGAAGAUAUAUUCAAGGGCGUACCUGGAUUUAGCACCCUUCCUGCUUUUAGAAAACAUAAUCGAACUUGCGCUUUAUGUGCUCAAGAGUUAAGAUGUCCUAGCCACCAUCUCAUGAAGCUCAUUGCCUUCCAUUGAAGGGUGUAGGGUUGCUUCUGCUGCUGCUCUGUAUGUUGUUUCUGCUUUCCUUCGGCUGUUGCUCUAUAUGUUGUUGUUUCCACAUGAUUUCAGUACGUCAAUUGGUUCAUAUGAAGCAGUUUCAAGGACAAGUCUUCUUAUCGGUCUGCUUGUUUCAGCUGGAUUAUCACACUUAAUUGCCAACAUGGUGUUGUUCUUCGGAACUCCAAUUAACAUUUGGUUUUUUUCUUUGCAUUGUUGCUCUUUUUUUAGUGGUUAUUCUUUUGAUUCUUUGUUCUUUGAGUUGUAGGAAGAUCUGUGUUGGUUCUGCAGUUGCUGUAAGUUUAUCUGAAUUUAUGAGAAAGGCAAGAAUUUCUUCGUUGGUGA